UCCAAUCGAACUCGGAGAUAGCUGGUUCUCCCCGAAAUAGCUUUAGGGCUAGCGUCGGAUAUGUGUAGUGGAGGUAGAGCACUGAAUGGGCUAGGGGGCAUAUCGCUUACCGAACCUUAUCAAACUCCGAAUGCCAUAUACAUUAAGUCCGGCAGUCAGACUACGAAUGAUAAGAUCCGUGGUCAAAAGGGAAACAGCCCAGAUCGUCAGCUAAGGUCCCAAAGUGUAAGUUAAGUGGAAAAGGAUGUGGGAUUUCUAAGACAACUAGGAUGUUGGCUUAGAAGCAGCCACUCAUUUAAAGAGUGCGUAAUAGCUCACUAGUCGAGAGAUCCUGCGCCGAAAAUGUCCGGGGCUAAAACUUACCACCGAAGCUACGGGCUUGCGUAAGCAAGCGGUAGGGGAGCGUCGUAAUCGGGCUGAAGUCGUACCGUAAGGAGCGGUGGACUGAUUACGAGUGAGAAUGUUGGCAUUAGUAGCGAGAUGUAGGUGAGAAUCCUACAGGCCGAAUAUCUAAGGUUUCCUCAGGAAGGCUCGUCCGCUGAGGGUUAGUCGGGACCUAAGCCGAGGCCGAAAGGCGUAGGCGAUGGACAAUCGGUUGAUAUUCCGAUACCACUACCAUCGUUAUUAUCGAGGGUGUGACGGAGAAGGAUAGUGUGUGCUAGCGAUUGGAAAUGCUAGUCUAAGCGUUUAGGGAGUUACGGUAGGCAAAUCCGCUGUAACAAUUCUGAGGCGUGAUGGGGAAGGUCAUUAAGACCGAAGUACAUGAUUCCAUGCUUCCAAGAAAAGCAUCUAGAGAGAGAAGUAGUGCCCGUACCGCAAACCGACACAGGUAGAUGAGGAGAGAAUCCUAAGGCCGGCGGAAGAAUUGCAGUUAAGGAACUAGGCAAAUUGACCCCGUAAGUUCGCGAGAAGGGGUGCCUGCGAGAGCAGGCCGCAGAGAAUAGGCCCAAGCAACUGUUUAGCAAAAACACAGGUCUCUGCUAAAGCGUAAGCUGAUGUAUAGGGGCUGACGCCUGCCCGGUGCUGGAAGGUUAAGGGGAACACUUAGCGCAAGCGAAGGUGUGAACUUAAGCCCCAGUAAACGGCGGCCGUAACUAUAACGGUCCUAAGGUAGCGAAAUUCCUUGUCAGGUAAGUUCUGACCCGCACGAAUGGCGUAAUGACUUGGGCACUGUCUCAACUGCAAAUCCGGCGAAGUUGUAGUGCGAGUGAAGAUGCUCGCUACCCGCGAUUGGACGGAAAGACCCCGUAGAGCUUUACUGUAGCUUAGCAUUGAAUUCCGGUAUUGUCUGUACAGGAUAGGUGGGAGACUGGGAAACUAGGGCGUCAGCCUUAGUGGAGUCAACCUUGGGAUACCACCCUGACAGUACUGGGGUUCUAACAGGACGCCAUGAAUCUGGUGACUGGACAUUGUUAGGUGGGCAGUUUGACUGGGGCGGUCGCCUCCUAAAAAGUAACGGAGGCGCCCAAAGGUUCCCUCAGAACGGUCGGAAAUCGUUCGUAGAGUGCAAAGGCAGAAGGGAGCCUGACUGCGAGACCUACAAGUCGAGCAGGGACGAAAGUCGGGCUUAGUGAUCCGGUGGUACCUCGUGGGAGGGCCAUCGCUCAACGGAUAAAAGCUACCUCGGGGAUAACAGGCUGAUCUCCCCCAAGAGUCCACAUCGACGGGGAGGUUUGGCAC
rnacentral:rRNA from 1 species